rnacentral:rRNA from 1 species
AUUGAACGCUGGCGGCAUGCCUUACACAUGCAAGUCGAACGGUAACAGGUCUUCGGAUGCUGACGAGUGGCGAACGGGUGAGUAAUACAUCGGAACGUGCCUAGUAGUGGGGGAUAACUACUCGAAAGAGUGGCUAAUACCGCAUGAGAUCUACGGAUGAAAGCAGGGGAUCGCAAGACCUUGUGCUACUAGAGCGGCCGAUGGCAGAUUAGGUAGUUGGUGGGAUAAAAGCUCACCAAGCCGACGAUCUGUAGCUGGUCUGAGAGGACGAUCAGCCACACUGGGACCGAGACACGGCCAGACUCCUACGGGAGGCAGCAGUGGGGAAUUUUGGACAAUGGGCGCAAGCCUGAUCCAGCAAUGCCGCGUGCAGGAUGAAGGCCUUCGGGUUGUAAACUGCUUUUGUACGGAGCGAAAAGCCCCGGGUUAAUACCCUGGGGUCAUGACGGUACCGUAAGAAUAAGCACCGGCUAACUACGUGCCAGCCGCCGCCGUAA